rnacentral:rRNA from 1 species
CCUACGGGAGGCAGCAGUGAGGAAUUUUCCGCAAUGGGCGAAAGCCUGACGGAGCAAUACCGCGUGAGGGAUGAAGGAUUUUGGUCUGUAAACCUCUUUUCUCAAGAAAGAAGUUCUGACGGUACUUGAGGAAUAAGCAUCGGCUAACUCCGUGCCAGCAGCCGCGGUAAUACGGGGGAUGCAAGCGUUAUCCGGAAUGAUUGGGCGUAAAGCGCCUGUAGGUUGUUUAUUAAGUCCGUUGUUAAAGCCUAGGGCUUAACCCUAGAAAAGCAAUGGAAACUAGUAGACUAGAGUAUGGCAGGGGUAGAGGGAAUUUCUAGUGUAGCGGUGAAAUGCGUAGAUAUUAGAAAGAACACCGGUGGCGAAAGCGCUCUACUGGACCAUUACUGACACUCAGAGGCGAAAGCUAGGGUAGCAAAAGGGAUUAGAUACCCCUGUAGUCCUAGCCGUAAACGAUGGAUACUAGAUGUUGUGCAUUAUGUACAGUAUCGUAGCUAACGCGUUAAGUAUCCCGCCUGGGGAGUACGCUCGCAAGGGUGAAACUCAAAGGAAUUGACGGCUGAGAGUGCGAGNGACGACGAGGAGAGG